CGGGAUGGGUGAGUAAUGUCUGGGAAACUGCCCGAUGGAGGGGGAUAACUACUGGAAACGGUAGCUAAUACCGCAUAACGUCGCAAGACCAAAGAGGGGGACCUUCGGGCCUCUUGCCAUCGGAUGUGCCCAGAUGGGAUUAGCUAGUAGGUGGGGUAACGGCUCACCUAGGCGACGAUCCCUAGCUGGUCUGAGAGGAUGACCAGCCACACUGGAACUGAGACACGGUCCAG
rnacentral:rRNA from 1 species